rnacentral:rRNA from 1 species
AUGCUUCGCGCCGUCCUCCUCCGCUCAGCCUCCGGCCUCCGCCGGUCGCCGAUGGCCGCCCCGCUAUCCACCGCCGCCGCCUCGUGGCUCGCCGAGGGGACCUCGUCGCCGCCCAGGGUGCGCCUACUCAUCGGCGGCGACUUCGUCGAGUCGAAGGCCACCGAGCACGUCGACGUCACCAACCCCGCGACGCAGGAGGUGGUGUCCCGGAUCCCGCUCACCACCGCCGACGAGUUCAGGGCCGCGGUGGACGCUGCCAGGACCGCCUUCCCUGGCUGGCGGAACACUCCGGUCACGGCGCGGCAGCGCAUCAUGUUCAAAUACCAGGAGCUCAUCCGGGCCAACAUGGAUAAGCUGGCAGAGAACAUUACAACCGAGCAGGGAAAGACACUGAAAGAUGCUUGGGGUGAUGUAUUCCGUGGUCUAGAGGUGGUGGAGCAUGCUUGUGGAAUGGGGUCACUUCAAAUGGGCGAAUACGUAUCUAAUGUUUCUCAUGGGAUUGACACCUUUAGUAUUAGGGAGCCACUCGGCGUAUGUGCUGGGAUUUGCCCAUUCAAUUUCCCUGCCAUGAUUCCCCUAUGGAUGUUCCCCAUAGCUGUUACUUGUGGGAAUACUUUUGUUCUAAAGCCAUCAGAAAAGGAUCCAGGGGCUGCUAUGAUGCUUGCGGAGCUAGCGAUGGAGGCUGGUUUACCAAAGGGUGUGUUGAACAUUGUUCAUGGUACCCAUGAUGUUGUCAACAAUAUUUGUGAUGACGAGGCUAUUAAGGCAGUAUCAUUUGUUGGUUCCAAUACAGCAGGUAUGCAUAUAUAUUCUAGAGCAUCUGCGAGUGGGAAGCGUGUUCAGUGUAACAUGGGUGCAAAGAAUCAUGCCAUUAUCCUUCCUGAUGCUGAUCGAGAUGCCACAUUGAAUGCCCUUAUUGCUGCCGGUUUUGGUGCAGCUGGGCAAAGGUGCAUGGCAUUGAGCACUGCUGUUUUUGUUGGAGGUUCAGAACCAUGGGAGGAUGAACUAGUCAAACGUGCAAGCAACCUUGUAGUUAAUUCUGGAACAGCUAAUGAUGCUGACCUUGGUCCAGUGAUCAGUACACAGGCCAAGGACCGCAUCUGCAAGUUAGUCCAAAGUGGCGCUGACAGUGGUGCUCGACUUGUGCUGGAUGGAAGGGAGAUUGUGGUUCCUCAAUUUGAGGAUGGCAACUUUAUUGGUCCAACUGUGUUGGCUGAUGUUAAAAGUGAUAUGGAGUGUUACCAGGAGGAAAUUUUUGGUCCAGUUCUUCUCUUGAUGAAGGCAGAGAGCCUAGAUGAUGCCAUACAAAUUGUAAACAGAAACAAGUAUGGCAAUGGGGCUUCCAUCUUUACCACAUCUGGUGUCUCAGCAAGGAAAUUUCAGACGGACAUUGAAGCUGGCCAGGUGGGUAUCAACGUGCCGAUCCCGGUACCCCUGCCGUUCUUCUCCUUCACGGGUAGCAAAGCUUCCUUCGCCGGAGACUUGAAUUUCUACGGCAAGGCGGGCGUGCAGUUCUUCACCCAGAUCAAGACCAUCACGCAGCAGUGGAAGGAGUCGUCUCCCCAGCGCGUUUCUCUCUCCAUGCCCACCUCGCAGAAGUGA